UACAGAGGUCUCAAGCGUUGUUCGGAUUCAUUGGGCGUAAAGGGUGCGUAGGCGGCGAAGCAAGUCUGGUGUGAAAUCCCGGGGCUCAACUCCGGAACUGCACUGGAUACUGCUUUGCUAGAGCACUGGAGAGGGAACUGGAAUUUACGGUGUAGCAGUGAAAUGCGUAGAUAUCGUAAGGAAGACCAGCGGCGAAGGCGAGUUCCUGGACAGUUGCUGACGCUGAGGCACGAAGGCCAGGGGAGCAAACGGG
rnacentral:misc_RNA from 1 species